UAACAGGAAGAAGCUUGCUUCUUUGCUGUCCCCUGGCGGACGGGUGAGUAAUGUCUGGGAAACUGCCUGAUGGAGGGGGAUAACUACUGGAAACGGUAGCUAAUACCGCAUAACGUCGCAAGACCAAAGAGGGGGACCUUCGGGCCUCUUGCCAUCGGAUGUGCCCAGAUGGGAUUAGCUAGUAGGUGGGGUAACGGCUCACCUAGGCGACGAUCCCUAGCUGGUCUGAGAGGAUGACCAGCCACACUGGAACUGAGACACGGUCCAGACUCCUACGGGAGGCAGCAGUGGG
rnacentral:misc_RNA from 1 species